ACAGAUGGCGCGGGGUGUCGUUAAAACGGCUGAGAAUUACCCGUCGAACUUGAACUGGUUCAUACCAGCGUAAGGACUGCCUCAAUUCAAAUUC
rnacentral:ncRNA from 1 species